CUACCAACAUAUUGCUGCGCUACUUGCGCCCUUUUUUUUUUGGGCUAGAAAAUGGGUUUAGGGUAUAACUACCAAAUUACGGGGAACUCCUAAAGCUUUUGAUACCAACCCUCAGUUGAAAGACUGUAGGUGGCUGAAGUAAUUACUCAGGUAAGGUAAUAAGUCAAAAGAUUAUUGAAAAAUAAAUGGAUAAUCGCGUAUCUAAAUCAAUAACUUGGAACAAGGUUAUUGUAAAAGAGCAACGAGUAGACGGUAGUUGAUGUAUAAAUAUUAUACAUUUAAGGUGUACUCUACUAGAUUUAGAAAUAAAUCU
rnacentral:ncRNA from 1 species